CACCCUCUCCUCUUCCUCCCGCCUCGCCUCUCUCCCUCCCUCCAAACCCUAGAGCCGCCCGCGCCUCCCUACUACGCCGCCGUCCAGGUCCAGCCCCACGUCGCCGUCAUCUCCUUCGCCCAGCCGGCCGCCGCUGCACCGCACGCCCGUGCCGUCUUCCGGUGCCACGACGCGCAGCCGACCGGGACCGCGGGCGAGGGAGGGAGGCCUCGCCCCCCUCGAUCUGGAUGGGGUCGCAGCCUGCCUACACCACCGCCAGCCAGCCGCCGCGGCGCGCCUUGCCGGCCGGCGCCUCCGCUGCCCCGCCGUCCAGGUCCAGCCCCACUCCCCCGGCACUCCUCCUACGUCCUCUGCAGGGCUGUUCACCGUGGCCGCAUCAGGCGCGGGCGCAGCCGCAGGCGGAGCAGCAGCAACAGGUGAGGCUGUACACGGCGGAAGGGGAACAGGCGGGAUACACGGCCAAGUGGGAGGAGCUCCAUCCGGUUUCGCAGCACCUUCUCCUGCAAAUCGAGGACAAGAUAAGGGAUGAGAGGCAUGUGUGUGAGCAGGUGGCACAAUAACUGGAUGCUCGUCAGACUACCUAGGAUAUCAGAUUUAUGAGCUUUUGUUAUUUGAUGCAAUUUCAAAAAGUAUCGGUAAGGUAAAAAUGAUCUACAAGCUUAUUGCAUUCAAAAGUAGUUAUCACAAGAAGAAGCAUGAGACACUAGCAGCAUGCCUCGCUUCUGUGGGCAACAGCAAAAACAGGGCGAAACAGAGCAAGCACAAAAAAGAAUACAAAUGCUACAUACAACCAAUGGGGUCCUUCUGCCUCAUCAAGGAUCUCUUCUGCCCUACCCCGUUGUUGUCAACUGAUCAAUACAAGCAGCCACCUCCAUGCACAAUUGCCGCAGCCUGCAGGAUGAGCCGAGCAUUUGGAGAAAAACUGUAUGUGAAUACAUCACCGAAGUGAAGGUAUAUGCAUAUACAAUAUGUAGAAUGCUGCUUGAUCUCCUGUUAGAGCAGCAUGGGCUGUCACCGUUCGUUUCAACACCAUUUGGAGAAAAACUUUAUGUGAAUAGGAGACAAAGUCAAGCAUGAAAGCAUGAUGUGUUUGCACAUGUGGUUUUCAUGGGGCAAAUGAUGCCACAUUGAAUAUCCUUUGGCCCCAAUAACUUCCAAAUGAGGUGUCAUACCACUAGCUACUGUGAUGUGUUAUGCGAGAUGUUGUCUGAUUGUCCUCGCCUUUUGUUAAAGGGCACUGCUCCAAGAAUUAUUUGUCAUUCUUCAUGUUGACUACUAUAUAUUAGUUACAUUGAUGCAUCGC